GUCUCCGUUGGUGAACCAGCGGAGGGAUCAUUACUGAGUAUUCUACUCUCAAACCCAUGUGAACUUACCACUUGUUGCCUCGGUGGUUGGCUGGCUGAUCGUUGCCCCGAAAGGGAUUGCGAUCUUCUGGCUAUAGCCGCCGGUGGACCUUCUAAACUCUUUGUUAUACUGUUUCUCUGAGUAACUACAAAAAUGAAUCAAAACUUUCAACAACGGAUCUCUUGGUUCUGGCAUCGAUGAAGAACGCAGCGAAAUGCGAUAAGUAAUGUGAAUUGCAGAAUUCAGUGAAUCAUCGAAUCUUUGAACGCACAUUGCACUCAUUAGUAUUCUAGUGAGUAUGCCUGUUCGAGCGUCAUUUCAACCCUUAAGCCUAGCUUAGUGUUGGGAACUUACCUAGCUGGUAAUUCCUCAAAAUCAGUUGGCGGAGUCCGGUAGGCUCUGAGCGUAGUAAUCUUUUUCUCGCUUUGGAAGUCUUCCGGUGCUACGGCCAGAAAUCUCGCGCCCCUAAAAAGGGUGCUGAUUUUUUCUAUGGUUGACCUCGGAUCAGGUAGGAAUACCCGCUGAACUUAAGCAUAUCAAUA
rnacentral:rRNA from 1 species